AUUAUGAAAGUCAUGAUAAAAAGUAAAAUCGGUAAUAUAAAUACAUGAGGAUUCUCGUUACUAAAUUUUUAAAGAAGAAAUGUAAAUUACUGAUGGUUUACAGCUUUCAUUCACUUGUAAAAACACGUGUUAGAGAUAUAUAUUACAGAAAGACAUGUGUCUUGUUCUCUUAUAAAAUAGGGAUUAUAUUAGAAUAAAUGUAAUUAAAAAUGGUUUACAGCUACCGGUCACCUAUAGAAACACGUGUCUUGUUUCUCUAAUAUAUCUCACGGAAAUAUCUUUUUUUUCUCAUAUCUCUUCAUCCUUUUCUCUAUCUUUCUGCAACUCCAAACCUCUUGAACAUUUCAAAACUUGAAUUGGUUUUGUGGCAAGUUGAAAAGAAAAUAAACCAGGACGACCAAGAGGAAAAAAGGUAACUAAUUCUCUUUAUAACCUCUUAUAAAACGUUCUUUUUAACUCUGUUUCUUUCAUUCUAUUUCUUACAAGAGAAAUGUUUCUUGGAGAUGAGAAAAAUGGCCAAAACAGAAAAGGCAUCUAAAGCGAUUUCUGAUAUUAGCCUCGAAGUUGAUAGGCUCGGAGGACGUGUUUCGGCGUUUGAGAUGGUUAUUAAAAAAGGAGGGAAAGUUGCAGAGAAAGAUCUUGCAAAGGUGAUUGAGUUGUUGAUGAAUGAGUUGAUCAAGCUGGAUGGGAUUGUAGCUGAAGGAGAUGUGAAGUUACAAAGAAAGAUGCAGGUGAAGAGAGUGCAGAACAAUAUGGAAGCACUUGAUGUUUUGAAGGUGAAGAACUCUAUUGCCAAUGGGCAGCAGAAACAGUCUAGUAGUCAGAGACUUGCAACAAUUCAAAAACGUAGGCAAGAAAAGAAACCGACACAAUCGCUUAUGGACAUGGGAAAAAAGAAGAAAUCUGUAAAUGCGUUGCCCAUUGCCAAAGGUUGUGAAGUAGAAGUCACUUCAGAAAAAGAAAUGUUCAAAGUUUCUUGGCAUAUAGCUAUCCUGCAGCAAAGUCCGAUGAAAGUGAAAGGGGAAAGCUUCGGGUCUGCUAUACAACUUUGCUGGACAAGGAUAGUUUAACUCCUUACACAGAAAAAGUUGAUCAAAGCCUCAUCCGUCCGGUUCAGCCAGGGGAUCUGAAUAACGAUUUCGUAUAUGAGAGAGGAUCGGUGGUGGAUGUUUAUGUUAAUGGUGGAUGGUGGAAGUGUGUUAUUGUAAAGGAAUUUCCAAAUGAGAAGUUUUGGGUUUACUUGGAUUUUCUACCAGAAGUAUUAAAAUUCGACAAAAGCCGACUGAGACCUAAUGUUGAUUGGACCGGCUCUACAUGGGUCAAAAGCCAAAAAAGGAACUUAGUGAAGACAUUUAUAGCCCAGGGGAAAAAGUGGAAAUGACUCGUAGAAUCCGUAAAAUGGAAGAUAUCUGGGUCACAACAAUGGCCAUUAAACAGAUUGAAGAGGAUGGUAAAAGAAAAGUUAUCAUCAAAAGAUUAUCCGAGUCACUGCGUUUGAGUGAUGAUGAUGAAGACGAUGCAUUGUUUAAAAAAGUUGAUAUUUGCAAACUCAGGCCAUGUCCGCCUCGUUAUUUUUGGGGAAAGUAUAUAUUGGGAGACAUUGUUGAAGUGUUUGUUAGCUGUGGAUGGCGUCUAGGUGAAGUGAGGGAAGUUCUCCCUGGUAACCAGUACUCAGUGCACUUCAAGAUCGCAAAAGAGGAGGCGGUUUUUAAAAGCUAUUCACUUAGACCGUCACGGGAGUGGAAAAAUGGUCGUUGGAUACUUACAAGAGAGAUAGAAUCUGUAGAAGAAACUCAUUCAAGCAAAUCGAAAAAUGAUUUGAUGAACACUGAGGAAGAUUUGAUGAAUGAUGCUCGCACUCCAACCAUUGCUUUAGAGUCCAAUGAAGAUGAUAUGAUGAACGAUGAUGCAACCGAAAUCAUAACCCCUGAAGAAAGUUACAGUAACACCCCUGUUUUAGAAGCCACUGAAAAUGAAACCCAAAUAUUUGAAUUGGAGUUACCAUUAUCUCAUGAAUCAGGUGACACAGUGAAUGAUGUUGCCUCCCCAAUCAUUGACCAUCAAGAGAUACCAACAGGUGAAACAAUGAGUACUUCUGAUGAUAAGAUUGUAUUGCCGAAAAGAGUGAUCGAAGCUGGUACAGAGGUACGCUUUUUGGAUAGAAUUACCAAGCGUAGUAACCUGAAGUUGGUCGAUAAAGUUAAAAAGUUUUUGGGCCCUGAAUUCAGAAAGCUUGAAGAUUCAUUCUUGGGUCCUAUAAUUGAGAUGGGAAGGAGGCAGAAAAAUAUGGUGUUUUCAAGGCAUUUGAUUCAUCUCUUACUUUUAAGGAGAAUUGAUAUAGGAGACAAGGGUCUAUGGUUUUCUUUCGGAGAACAACCAAUGAGGUUUUCCCUAAGAGAAUUCCAUUUGGCAACGGGUCUGCCUUGUAUUGCUGACAUAGAUGAAGAGCAAGUGGAGACUUCUGGAAGGAAAAAGAAGAAGAAGAAAGAUCCAUGGAUGAAUAAGGAACAAACUUUAAACAGCUUGGUUAAACUACUUGAGAAGAACAGUAAAGGGUUUACUGAUGAUCAGAGAUUGAGAUUGGGGGCUUCAAUCCUUGUUGAAGGGAUAUUAAUGGCAAUCAAUCCAGUGACUCGUAUAGCCGUUGAGAAUCUGCUGAGAGCUAGAGAUUUCAAAGAGUUUUGCAACUAUCCAUGGGGGAAUUUGGCCUUUAAUUUCUUACGCAAUGAAGUGAAGGGUAUUAGCUCUGAAGUGUUGAAGAAAGAUCAAUUUGACAUCUGUGGAUUUAUAUUUGCUGUUCAGCUAUGGGCAUUAUCAUCUGUUGAUCAAAUAGGCACAUUCUUUGGGAUUAGGGAUAAUGAGAUUAAGUUUCCCUUGUGCUUGCAUUGGAUAGAAACCAAAUCCCUUACUAUGAAAGAGGUGACCAGAUUCGACAACAGUGAGAAGGUUGAUGUCAAUGUAUACUUGGAGAUCCUGAAAUACACUGCGACUUGGUUGAAGACGUUGACAUUGAAUUUGGAAAAGUUAUUGAUCUUGUCAGAAGAGGAUACCGUCUGAAGAGACAAGAUUGGCUUAAUGGAAGUGUCAACAUUGCUGUCGCUGAAGCUGAAGUGGAGAAAAACAAUUAUGAUGGUUGGACUAAUGCAACUGAUAAAGAAAAGAUUGAAUUCCUCACUAAGCAGGCAGAGUUUUAUAAAGAAAGACCUGGUUAUCUUGAAGGUCUUCUGAACAUUCGUCGAGAAAACGAGAAGGUAAACUAUUCACAUAUAAAUUUUCAGGAAAAUGGACAGAAUUCCGAGAGGGAAUUGGGUGAAGAAGAAACGUUCCAGUCUUUCAUAGAUUCCCGAAAGCAGCAAAACACUAAGGUUGGAGAAUUUAAUGAAAAUGCAUCUAAAGAGUCCGUGAUAGUUAAAAAGAAGAAACGAGCAAGAGAAAAUAAGGAAGCUGAAGCCAUCACCUCCAAAACAAAGAAAACUAAAACGAUCUGGGGUUCUAGUUGAUGUUGUGAUAUAAAGAGUAUUGGAAGAAAUGAUGCUCUUUUAGUUUCCAAUAUUUUUUUAAUCCAAAAUCAGUGUUUCAAUUUUUCAAAAUGUUAUCUUUUGUUGAUGCCUUUGAUGAGAAACAUCUUUUGCAUUGUAAGGGCUUAUAAAGCUAUCCAAAAUAACUUAUAACCCAUUAUAAAAAAUGUAUUUAUCAUCUUUAUUAAAAA